CCGAUGGCGACCGGCGCACGGGUGAGUAACACGUAUCCAACCUGCCGAUGACUCGGGGAUAGCCUUUCGAAAGAAAGAUUAAUACCCGAUGGCAUAGUUCUUCCGCAUGGUGGAACUAUUAAAGAAUUUCGGUCAUCGAUGGGGAUGCGUUCCAUUAGGUUGUUGGCGGGGUAACGGCCCACCAAGGCGACGAUGCGUAGCCGACCUGAGAGGGUGACCGGCCACACUGGGACUGAGACACGGCCCAGACUCCUACGGGAGGCAGCAUG
rnacentral:rRNA from 1 species